GAUGAACGCUGGCGGUAUGCUUUACACAUGCAAGUCGUACGAGAGUUUUUAAUUCAAGUGGCGGACGGGUGAGUAACACGUAAGAAUUUGCCUUUAGGAGGGGGACAACAACUGGAAACGGUUGCUAAUACCCCAUAUGCUUUCGAGUGAAAUGGAUUUUUCCGCCUAAAGAGAAGCUUGCGGCUGAUUAGCUUGUUGGUGAGGUAAUGGCUCACCAAGGCGACGAUCAGUAUCUGGUUUGAGAGGAUGAUCAGACACACUGGAACUGAGACACGGUCCAGACUCCUACGGGAGGCAGCAGUGGGGAAUUUUCCGCAAUGGGCGAAAGCCUGACGGAGCAAUCUCGCGUGGGGGAUGACGGCCCAUGGGUUGUAAACCUCUUUUUUCAGGGAGGAACAAAAUGACGUGUACCUGAAGAAUAAGCAUCGGCUAACUCCGUG
rnacentral:rRNA from 1 species